CCGUAGAGGUCCUUCCUGAUAUCAACAUCACACUUCAUAAUAGAGUUGUAGGUAGUCUCGUGGAUACCUGCAGCUUCCAUACCAAUCAUGGAUGGCUGGAAGAGGACCUCUGGGCAACGGAACCUCUCAGCACCAAUGGUAAUAACUUGUCCAUCAGGCAAUUCAUAGUUCUUUUCAAUGGAGGAGCUGCUCCUGGCAGUUUCAAUCUCCUGCUCAUAGUCAAGAGCCACAUAGGCAAGCUUUUCCUUCAUGUCGCGGACAAUUUCCCGUUCAGCAGUGGUGGUGAACAUGUAACCUCUCUCGGUGAGGAUCUUCA
rnacentral:lncRNA from 1 species